UACGUAGGGGGCAAGCGUUGUCCGGAUUUAUUGGGCGUAAAGAGCGUGUAGGCGGCCAGACAGGUCAGCUGUGAAAACUCGAGGCUCAACCUCGAGACGUCGGUUGAAACCGUUUGGCUAGAGUCCGGAAGAGGAGAGUGGAAUUCCCGGUGUAGCGGUGAAAUGCGCAGAUAUCGGGAAGAACACCCGUGGCGAAGGCGGCUCU
rnacentral:rRNA from 1 species